AGCGUAGACGGUGUGGCAAGUCUGAUGUGAAAGGCAUGGGCUCAACCUGUGGACUGCAUUGGGGAAACUGUCAUACUUGAGUGCCGGAGGGGUAAGCGGAAUUCCUAGUGUAGCGGUGAAAUGCGUAGAUAUUAGGAGGAACACCAGUGGCGAAGGCGGCUUACUGGACGGUAACUGACGUUGAGGCUCGAAAGCGUGGGAGCAAACA
rnacentral:rRNA from 1 species